rnacentral:rRNA from 1 species
UGGGGAAUUGUUCACAAUGGGCGCAAGCCUGAUGACGCAACGCCGCGUGGGGGAUGAAGGUCUUCGGAUCGUAAACCCCUGUCGAAUGGGACGAAAGACUCGCGAGUGAAUACUUCGCGAGAGUGACGGUACCGUUAAAGGAAGCCACGGCUAACUCUGUGCCAGCAGCCGCGGUAAUACAGAGGUGGCAAGCGUUGUUCGGAAUUACUGGGCGUAAGGGGGCGCGUAGGCGGCCCUCUAAGUCAGACGUGAAAUCCCCCGGCUUAACCUGGGAACUGCGUCUGAUACUGGAGGGCUUGAGUAUGGGAGAGGGAUGUAGAAUUCCAGGUGUAGCGGUGAAAUGCGUAGAUAUCUGGAGGAAUACCGGUGGCGAAGGCGGCAUCCUGGACCAUUACUGACGCUGAGGCGCGAAAGCUAGGGGAGCAAACGGGAUUAGAUACCCCAGUAGUCCCUGAGCGGGCUGGCAAGGCGCAU